rnacentral:rRNA from 1 species
AGAGUUUGAUCCUGGCUCAGGAUGAACGCUGGCGGCGUGCUUAACACAUGCAAGUCGAACGGAAACAUAUUGAAACCUAGUGAUAUAUGUUUUAGUGGCGGACGGGUGAGUAACGCGUGGGUAACCUGCCGUAUUCUGGGGGACAACAGUUGGAAACGACUGCUAAUACCGCAUAAGACCACAGAGUCGCAUGACUCAGGGGUAAAAACUCCGGUGGAAUACGAUGGACCCGCGUCUGAUUAGCUAGUUGGUGAGGUAACGGCCCACCAAGGCGACGAUCAGUAGCCGGCCUGAGAGGGUGAACGGCCACAUUGGGACUGAGACACGGCCCAAACUCCUACGGGAGGCAGCAGUGGGGAAUAUUGCACAAUGGGCGAAAGCCUGAUGCAGCGACGCCGCGUGAGUGAAGAAGUAUUUCGGUAUGUAAAGCUCUAUCAGCAGGGAAGAAAAUGACGGUACCUGACUAAGAAGCCCCGGCUAACUACGUGCCAGCAGCCGCGGUAAUACGUAGGGGGCAAGCGUUAUCCGGAUUUACUGGGUGUAAAGGGAGCGUAGACGGCUGUGUAAGUCUGAAGUGAAAGCCCCGGGCUCAACUCGGGAACUGCUUUGGAAACUAUAUAGCUAGAGUGCAGGAGAGGUAAGUGGAAUUCCUAGUGUAGCGGUGAAAUGCGUAGAUAUUAGGAGGAACACCAGUGGCGAAGGCGGCUUACUGGACUGUAACUGACGUUGAGGCUCGAAAGCGUGGGGAGCAAACAGGAUUAGAUACCCUGGUAGUCCACGCUGUAAACGAUGAUUACUAGGUGUUGGGAGGCUAUAGCCUUUCGGUGCCGCAGCUAACGCAAUAAGUAAUCCACCUGGGGAGUACGUUCGCAGGAAUGAAACUCAAAGGAAUUGACGGGGACCCGCACAAGCGGUGGAGCAUGUGGUUUAAUUCGAUGCAACGCGAAGAACCUUACCUGGGCUUGACAUACGGAUGCACGGUCCAUGAAAGUGGACCUCCUUCGAGGGUUCCGUACAGGUGCUGCAUGGCUGUCGUCAGUUCGUGCCGUGAGGUGUUUGGUUAAGUCCACCAACGAACGCAACCCCUUUGACCAGUUGCCAGCGGGCGAUGCCGGGAACUCUGGUCACACUGCUGUUUCACGACAGAGGAAGGUGGGGAUGACGUCAAGUCAGUAUGGCCCUUACGCCCAGGGCUGCACACGUGCUACAAUGGCCGGUACAGAGGGAUGCGAAGCCGCGAGGCGGAGCGAACCCCCCAGAGCCGGCCCCAGUUCAGAUCGGGGUCUGCAACCCGACCCCGUGAAGUCGGAUUUGCUAGUAACGGCGCAUCAGCUACGGCGCCGUGAAUGCGUUCCCGGGCCUUGUACUCACCGCCCGUCA